rnacentral:lncRNA from 12 species
UCCCAUCUUUAAUUUAUCCCUCUGCAGCAUCUCUCAAUUUAUUUCCUUUUUUUUCCCCAUGUUGCCAUUACUGGAGUUCAGGCCAUGAUUACUAAUGGAAAACUUCAGUCUUGCCAGCUGAAUUCAGGCCCUCUGUAUUCUACCUCUUAAGAAGAAGAAGCAACAUCGGGAGUCAUAUCGAAGAACAUUAUAAGGCCAUAGUUCUGAGAGAAAUGACAGAAAGCAACAAGGAAAAAGGGGAAAAGCUGAGACUCCAAGACAACUUUCAACUUUCUCAAGCAAGUAUAAUAAAUAAAAGAGAAUGAGUUGUUUGCAGAAUUGAAAUUAAAUGAAAGAAAUCCUUGAAGGAGAUGGAGAAAAAUACACAGAAAAUGUGUGAAUGUACAGAGGCAGGAUAUCCAAGAAAGCAUCUCUUUCUAACAGAGGCAAACUGGGA